rnacentral:lncRNA from 1 species
UCACAUUUACGCAUUGUGGAUGGGACAUUGUUAAUUUACUAGCAUCAUUAUUAUCCAUCCAAUUUUCUCCUUCCUUUUCAACAUCCACAUCCACUGAUUAUUAUCCAUUGCCCAGCCUCUCUCUUAUUUGCCGGAGCUGUACAAAUAGAGACGUAGGGUAUGGUAAAUAGUAAAGAAGAGCAUUACAAAUCUCUCUCCCUUGUGC